rnacentral:rRNA from 1 species
GAGACAGGUGCUGCAUGGCUGUCGUCAGCUCGUGUUGUGAAAUGUUGGGUUAAGUCCCGCAACGAGCGCAACCCUUAUCCUUUGUUGCCAGCGAUUCGGUCGGGAACUCAAAGGAGACUGCCGGUGAUAAACCGGAGGAAGGUGGGGAUGACGUCAAGUCAUCAUGGCCCUUACGAGUAGGGCUACACACGUGCUACAAUGGCGCAUACAAAGAGAAGCGACCUCGCGAGAGCAAGCGGACCUCACAAAGUGCGUCGUAGUCCGGAUCGGAGUCUGCAACUCGACUCCGUGAAGUCGGAAUCGCUAGUAAUCGUGGAUCAGAAUGCCACGGUGAAUACGUUCCCGGGCCUUGUACACACCGCCCGUCACACCAUGGGAGUGGGUUGCAAAAGAAGUAGGUAGCUUAACCUUCGGGAGGGCG